GACCGUACCCCAAACCGACACAGGUGGUCAGGUAGAGAAUACCAAGGCGCUUGAGAGAACUCGGGUAAAGGAACUAGGCAAAAUGGUGCCGUAACUUCGGGAGAAGGCACGCCGGUGGUAUGUGACGCCCUUCGCGGGUUGAGCAGAAGCCGGUCGAAGAUACCAGGCCCCUGCGACUGUUUAUUAAAAACACAGCACUGUGCAAACACGAAAGUGGACGUAUACGGUGUGACGCCUGCCCGGUGCCGGAAGGUUAAUUGAUGGGGUUAGCGCUUGCGCGAAGCUCUUGAUCGAAGCCCCGGUAAACGGCGGCCGUAACUAUAACGGUCCUAAGGUAGCGAAAUUCCUUGUCGGGUAAGUUCCGACCUGCACGAAUGGCGUAACGAUGGGGGCGCUGUCUCUACCCGAGACUCAGUGAAAUUGAAAUCGCCGUGAAGAUGCGGUGUAUCCGCGGCUAGACGGAAAGACCCCGUGAACCUUUACUAUAGCUUCACAGUGAACUUUGAGCAUGUUUGUGUAGGAUAGCUGGGAGGCUUUGAAACCAGGACGCCAGUUCUGGUGGAGCCAACCUUGAAAUACCAGCCUGACCUGUUUGAGGUUCUAACUUCGUCCCCUUAUCGGGGAUAAGGACACUGUGUGGUGGGUAGUUUGACUGGGGCGGUCUCCUCCCAAAGCGUAACGGAGGAGCACAAAGGUGGGCUAAGCAUGGUCGGACAUCAUGCGGUUAGUGUAAUGGCACAAGCCCGCUUAACUGCGAGACAGACACGUCGAGCAGGUACGAAAGUAGGUCAUAGUGAUCCGGUGGUUCUGUAUGGAAGGGCCAUCGCUCAACGGAUAAAAGGUACUCCGGGGAUAACAGGCUGAUACCGCCCAAGAGUUCACAUCGACGGCGGUGUUUGGCACCUCGAUGUCGGCUCAUCACAUCCUGGGGCUGAAGCCGGUCCCAAGGGUAUGGCUGUUCGCCAUUUAAAGUGGUACGCGAGCUGGGUUUAGAACGUCGUGAGACAGUUCGGUCCCUAUCUGCCGUGGACGUUGGAGAUUUGAGGAAAGCUGCUCCUAGUACGAGAGGACCGGAGUGGACGAACCGCUGGUGUUCGGGUUGUGUCGCCAGACGCAUUGCCCGGUAGCUAUGUUCGGACAGGAUAACCGCUGAAAGCAUCUAAGCGGGAAGCCCCUUCCAAGAUGAGAUCUCCCUGGACCCUUGAGGUCCCUGAAGAGCCGUUCAAGACCAGGACGUUGAUAGGUCGGGUGUGUAAGCGCUGCGAGGCGUUGAGCUAACCGAUACUAAUUGCUCGUGAGGCUUGACUAU
rnacentral:rRNA from 1 species